rnacentral:rRNA from 1 species
GACGAACGCUGGCGGCGUGCUUAACACAUGCAAGUCGAACGGAAAGGCCCUGCUUUUGUGGGGUGCUCGAGUGGCGAACGGGUGAGUAACACGUGAGUAACCUGCCCUUGACUUUGGGAUAACUUCAGGAAACUGGGGCUAAUACCGGAUAGGAGCUCCUGCUGCAUGGUGGGGGUUGGAAAGUUUCGGCGGUUGGGGAUGGACUCGCGGCUUAUCAGCUUGUUGGUGGGGUAGUGGCUUACCAAGGCUUUGACGGGUAGCCGGCCUGAGAGGGUGACCGGCCACAUUGGGACUGAGAUACGGCCCAGACUCCUACGGGAGGCAGCAGUGGGGAAUAUUGCACAAUGGGCGGAAGCCUGAUGCAGCAACGCCGCGUGCGGGAUGACGGCCUUCGGGUUGUAAACCGCUUUCGCCUGUGACGAAGCGUGAGUGACGGUAAUGGGUAAAGAAGCACCGGCUAACUACGUGCCAGCAGCCGCGGUGAUACGUAGGGUGCGAGCGUUGUCCGGAUUUAUUGGGCGUAAAGGGCUCGUAGGUGGUUGAUCGCGUCGGAAGUGUAAUCUUGGGGCUUAACCCUGAGCGUGCUUUCGAUACGGGUUGACUUGAGGAAGGUAGGGGAGAAUGGAAUUCCUGGUGGAGCGGUGGAAUGCGCAGAUAUCAGGAGGAACACCAGUGGCGAAGGCGGUUCUCUGGGCCUUUCCUGACGCUGAGGAGCGAAAGCGUGGGGAGCGAACAGGCUUAGAUACCCUGGUAGUCCACGCUGUAAACGGUGGGUACUAGGUGUGGGGUCCAUUCCACGGGUUCCGUGCCGUAGCUAACGCUUUAAGUACCCCGCCUGGGGAGUACGGCCGCAAGGCUAAAACUCAAAGGAAUUGACGGGGCCCCGCACAAGCGGCGGAGCAUGCGGAUUAAUUCGAUGCAACGCGUAGAACCUUACCUGGGUUUGACAUGGAUCGGGAGCGCUCAGAGAUGGGUGUGCCUCUUUUGGGGUCGGUUCACAGGUGGUGCAUGGCUGUCGUCAGCUCGUGUCGUGAGAUGUUGGGUUAAGUCCCGCAACGAGCGCAACCCUUGUUCACUGUUGCCAGCACGUUAUGGUGGGGACUCAGUGGAGACCGCCGGGGUCAACUCGGAGGAAGGUGGGGAUGACGUCAAGUCAUCAUGCCCCUUAUGUCCAGGGCUUCACGCAUGCUACAAUGGCUGGUACAGAGAGUGGCGAGCCUGUGAGGGUGAGCGAAUCUCGGAAAGCCGGUCUCAGUUCGGAUUGGGGUCUGCAACUCGACCACAUGAAGUCGGAGUCGCUAGUAAUCGCAGAUCAGCAACGCUGCGGUGAAUACGUUCCCGGGGCU